rnacentral:rRNA from 1 species
CCUACGGUGAGCAGCAGUGGGGAAUAUUGCACAAUGGGGGAAACCCUGAUGCAGCAACGCCGCGUGAGUGAAGAAGUAUUUCGAUAUGUAACGCUCUAUCAGCAGGGAAGAAGAUGACGUUAUCUGAGUAAGAAGCCCCGGCUAACGACGUGCCAGCAUCCGCGGUAAUACGUCGGGGGCAAGCUUUCUCCGGUGUUACGGGGUGUAAAGGGAGAGUCGACGGCAUAGCAAAGCUGAAGUGAAAGCCCACGGCUCAACCAUGGGACUGGUUUGGAAACUGUUAAGCUAGAGUGCUGUAGAGGUAAGCAGAAUUCCUAGUGUAGCGGUGAAAUGCGUAGAUAUUAGGAAGAACACCAGUGGCGAAGGCGGCUUACUGGACAGUAACUGACGUUGAGGUUCGAAAGCGUGGGGAUCAAACAGGAUUAGAUACCCCGGUAGUC